rnacentral:rRNA from 1 species
UACGAAGGGGGGCUAGCGUUGCUCGGAAUGACUGGGCGUAAAGGGCGCGUAGGCGGCUCAUACAGUCAGGCGUGAAAUUCCUGGGCUCAACCUGGGGGACUGCGCUUGAGACGUGUGGGCUUGAGUGGGGGAAGAGGGUCGUGGAAUUCCCCAGUGUAGAGGUGAAAAUUCGUAGAUAUUGGGGAAGAACACCGGUGGCGAAGGCGGCGACCUGGUCCUUGACUGACGCUGAAACGCGAAAGCGUGGGGAGCAAACAGGG